rnacentral:rRNA from 1 species
GGUUAAGCGACUAAGCGUACACGGUGGAUGCCCUGGCAGUCAGAGGCGAUGAAGGACGUGCUAAUCUGCGAAAAGCGUCGGUAAGGUGAUAUGAACCGUUAUAACCGGCGAUGUCCGAAUGGGGAAACCCAGUGCAAUUCGUUGCACUAUCGUUAACUGAAUACAUAGGUUAACGAGGCGAACCGGGGGAACUGAAACAUCUAAGUACCCCGAGGAAAAGAAAUCAACCGAGAUUCCCCCAGUAGCGGCGAGCGAACGGGGAGCAGCCCAGAGUCUGAAUCAGCUUGUGUGUUAGUGGAACGGUCUGGAAAGUCCGACGGUACAGGGUGAUAGUCCCGUACACCAAAAUGCACAGGCUGUGAACUCGAAGAGUAGGGCGGGACACGUGGUAUCCUGUCUGAAUAUGGGGGACCAUCCUCCAAGGCUAAAUACUCCUGACUGACCGAUAGUGAACCAGUACCGUGAGGGAAAGGCGAAAAGAACCCCGGCGAGGGGAGUGAAAAAGAACCUGAAACCGUGUACGUACAAGCAGUGGGAGCACCUUCGGGUGUGACUGCGUACCUUUUGUAUAAUGGGUCAGCGACUUAUAUUCUGUAGCAAGGUUAACCGUAUAGGGGAGCCGCAGGGAAACCGAGUCUUAACUGGGCGUUAAGUUGCAGGGUAUAGACCCGAAACCCGGUGAUCUAGCCAUGGGCAGGUUGAAGGUUGGGUAACACUAACUGGAGGACCGAACCGACUAAUGUUGAAAAAUUAGCGGAUGACUUGUGGCUGGGGGUGAAAGGCCAAUCAAACCGGGAGAUAGCUGGUUCUCCCCGAAAGCUAUUUAGGUAGCGCCUCGUGAAUUCAUCUUCGGGGGUAGAGCACUGUUUCGGCUAGGGGGUCAUCCCGACUUACCAACCCGAUGCAAACUACGAAUACCGAAGAAUGUUAUCACGGGAGACACACGGCGGGUGCUAACGUCCGUCGUGAAGAGGGAAACAACCCAGACCGCCAGCUAAGGUCCCAAAGUCAUGGUUAAGUGGGAAACGAUGUGGGAAGGCACAGACAGCCAGGAUGUUGGCUUAGAAGCAGCCAUCAUUUAAAGAAAGCGUAAUAGCUCACUGGUCGAGUCGGCCUGCGCGGAAGAUGUAACGGGGCUAAACCAUGCACCGAAGCUGCGGCAGCGACACUAUGUGUUGUUGGGUAGGGGAGCGUUCUGUAAGCCUGCGAAGGUGACCUGUGAGGGUUGCUGGAGGUAUCAGAAGUGCGAAUGCUGACAUAAGUAACGAUAAAGCGGGUGAAAAGCCCGCUCGCCGGAAGACCAAGGGUUCCUGUCCAACGUUAAUCGGGGCAGGGUGAGUCGACCCCUAAGGCGAGGCCGAAAGGCGUAGUCGAUGGGAAACAGGUUAAUAUUCCUGUACUUGGUGUUACUGCGAAGGGGGACGGAGAAGGCUAUGUUAGCCGGGCGACGGUUGUCCCGGUUUAAGCAUGUAGGCUGGUUAUCCAGGCAAAUCCGGAUAAUCAAGGCUGAGGUGUGAUGACGAGGCACUACGGUGCUGAAGUAACAAAUGCCCUGCUUCCAGGAAAAGCCUCUAAGCAUCAGGUAACAUCAAAUCGUACCCCAAACCGACACAGGUGGUCAGGUAGAGAAUACCAAGGCGCUUGAGAGAACUCGGGUGAAGGAACUAGGCAAAAUGGUGCCGUAACUUCGGGAGAAGGCACGCUGGUGUGUAGGUGAAGUCCCUGCGGAUGGAGCUGAGACCAGUCGAAGAUACCAGCUGGCUGCAACUGUUUAUUAAAAACACAGCACUGUGCAAACACGAAAGUGGACGUAUACGGUGUGACGCCUGCCCGGUGCCGGAAGGUUAAUUGAUGGGGUUAUCCGUAAGGAGAAGCUCUUGAUCGAAGCCCCGGUAAACGGCGGCCGUAACUAUAACGGUCCUAAGGUAGCGAAAUUCCUUGUCGGGUAAGUUCCGACCUGCACGAAUGGCGUAAUGAUGGCCAGGCUGUCUCCACCCGAGACUCAGUGAAAUUGAACUCGCUGUGAAGAUGCAGUGUACCCGCGGCAAGACGGAAAGACCCCGUGAACCUUUACUAUAGCUUGACACUGAACAUUGAGCCUUGAUGUGUAGGAUAGGUGGGAGGCUUUGAAGCGUGGACGCCAGUCUGCGUGGAGCCAACCUUGAAAUACCACCCUUUAAUGUUUGAUGUUCUAACGUUGGCCCCUUACCGGGGUUGCGGACAGUGUCUGGUGGGUAGUUUGACUGGGGCGGUCUCCUCCCAAAGCGUAACGGAGGAGCACGAAGGUUAGCUAAUCCUGGUCGGACAUCAGGAGGUUAGUGCAAUGGCAUAAGCUAGCUUGACUGCGAGCGUGACGGCGCGAGCAGGUGCGAAAGCAGGUCAUAGUGAUCCGGUGGUUCUGAAUGGAAGGGCCAUCGCUCAACGGAUAAAAGGUACUCCGGGGAUAACAGGCUGAUACCGCCCAAGAGUUCAUAUCGACGGCGGUGUUUGGCACCUCGAUGUCGGCUCAUCACAUCCUGGGGCUGAAGUAGGUCCCAAGGGUAUGGCUGUUCGCCAUUUAAAGUGGUACGCGAGCUGGGUUUAGAACGUCGUGAGACAGUUCGGUCCCUAUCUGCCGUGGGCGCUGGAGAAUUGAGGGGGCUGCUCCUAGUACGAGAGGACCGGAGUGGACGCAUCACUGGUGUUCGGGUUGUCAUGCCAAUGGCACUGCCCGGUAGCUAAAUGCGGAAGAGAUAAGUGCUGAAAGCAUCUAAGCACGAAACUUGCCCCGAGAUGAGUUCUCCCUGAGACUUUAAGUCUCCUGAAGGAACGUUGAAGACGACGACGUUGAUAGGCCGGGUGUGUAAGCGCAGCGAUGCGUUGAGCUAACCGGUACUAAUGAACCGUGAGGCUUAACCUU